GUGUUUGCUUCAGCAGCACAUGAACUAAGAUUGUAACGAUACAGAGAAGAUUAGCAUUGUUCUAACUCAUUGCUUCCCAGAUCUGGUGAAGUACCUGUUCUUU
rnacentral:snRNA from 1 species